rnacentral:misc_RNA from 1 species
GAAAUGCGAUAAGUAAUGUGAAUUGCAGAAUUCAGUGAAUCAUCGAAUCUUUGAACGCAACUUGCGCUCCUUGGUAUUCCUUGGAGCAUGCCUGUUUGAGUAUCAUGAAAUCUUCAAAGUAAAUCUUUUGUUAACUCAAUUGGUUUCUACUUUGGUAUUGGAGGUCUUUGCAGCUUCACACCUGCUCCUCUUUGUUCAUUAGCUGGAUCUCAGUGUUAUGCUUGGUUCCACUCGGCGUGAUAAGUUAUCUAUCGCUGAGGACACUGUAAAAGGUGGCCAAGGUAAAUGCAGAUGAACCGCUUCUAAUAGUCCAUUGACUUGGACAAUACUUUUAUGAUCUGAUCUCAGAUCAGGUAGGACUACCCGCUGAACUUAAGC